rnacentral:lncRNA from 1 species
UGAAAGGAUGUUGUGAUAAACAGACGGAGGUUUCCAGCAGGAUUGUUGUUGCUCAACACUGAGGCUGAACAUGGCUCUCUCAUCCCUGCCGUUCUUGGGGUUCCUCCUCCUCUUCCUUCAUGAGUUGGAUGCCCAAACUGUUAUUGGCUAUUCUUCUUCCUUCUCUUCCAUGGAUCUGCCAAGGAGUUCUUCGCCAACCAAGCAGACUAUUCGGUUCUGGCCUUCCUUGCCCCCCAGAGGACGCAGCGAUGUGCCGAUCAGAGUCACCUUACGGGACAGAUUGACAACUAUGAACGCGGUGGACCAAGGGCAAAGAAUAACCCCUGAGACAACACAUUUCAGUCCCUCUUUGACGAUGACCUCUUCUGUUGAGAAUCCCAUCGGAGAGACAGCUGUAACUGAACCCACUUCCUCCAGGCCCAGGACGGACACAGCCAGAUUAGCUUUCAAACAGGCUUUCAGAAGGGGAGAGGUUGCUACAAAAAACCCAAAUGAACCUUUGAAUGUGAGGUCUUCCACCACUGUUGGGGAGACUGCAGAUGAUGGAUUGGGAACAGCUGGAAAUUCAGACAAGGGAACAGUCGGAGACUCGGAGGAUGGGGAUACACAAGGCUUGGGGUCAGGAGCAGUAGCAUCAAAAAAGGAUGAUUUACCUCCUCCUCUACCAACACAGGCUCGUACAUCCAGCACAGCCUCAACAGCGCACCAUCUCGAGAAAAGAAUCCCACAGUCUUUGAAUACAACUCAGCAAAUACCCCAAACCGUUGGAUUACCAGGUAAACUGGCAUCAAAGAAUCCUUCUGCUAAAGGAGUUGGUCCAAACCAGGGUGCAGCUGUUUUAACAUCUCCCCAGCCCACAUCGCCCAUUGCCAACCAGCACCCCCAGACUGCAGAACAGCAUCUGACAGCCAAAAACUCAAGCCUUCUGAGAACACAAUCAGCCAACGUCAGUGCUACACAGGAGCCUGUUGGGAUGUCCACCCAAAACAGCAAAGCAGUCCAACUAGGAAGGCCAGCAGCAGGCACUACUGUGCGGUCCACAAGGACAGGUAAGGAAAAAGGAUCUUCUGUUCUGGGGUAGAACCGGUUGUAAAGUUUCCUUUAUCCUCUGAUAAUUUGGAGCAGAUUUAUUUGUACAGCUGGGACUUUUUUACUGAAGGAAUUUUAGAGAAAGAGGCUUCAAAGGAGGGGAAAAAGGCGGAGAUGCUUUUCCCUUGGAAAAAUGGGGCCGCACUUGUGUGCGGGUGGACACUACAAGCGACAAAAAUAUGAACAGGGGGUGAGAGAGAGGUAUAAAAAGGAG